rnacentral:tRNA from 1 species
CCUGGUAGCUCAGUCAGUAAAGAAUCUGCCUGCAAUGCAGAAGACCCAGGUUCGAUCCCUGGGUCAGGA